rnacentral:rRNA from 1 species
CUACGGGGGGCAGCAGUGAGGAAUAUUGCACAAUGGGGGAAACCCUGAUGCAGCAACGCCGCGUGGAGGAUGACGCAUUUCGGUGUGUAAACUCCUUUUAUGAGUCAAGAAAAUGACGGUAGCUCAUGAAUAAGCACCGGCUAACUCCGUGCCAGCAGCCGCGGUAAUACGGAGGGUGCAAGCGUUACUCGGAAUCACUGGGCGUAAAGGACGCGUAGGCGGGCUUGUAAGUCAGGUGUGAAAUCCUACAGCUUAACUGUAGAACUGCACUUGAAACUACGAGCCUAGAGUAUGGGAGGGGCAGAUGGAAUUAGUGGUGUAGGGGUAAAAUCCGUAGAUAUCACUAGGAAUACCGAAAGCGAAGGCGAUCUGCUGGAACAUUACUGACGCUAAGGCGUGAAAGCGUGGGGAGCAAACGGGAUUAGAUACCCGUGUAGUC